CCUCCAUGCCUGACAAUGCAUGACUUUGAGAACUAGCAUCAGUUAUUUUUUAGGCACCUGCAUUUUCCCAUCUCAAUUUGCUCCAUCACAAGUAGUGCACUGUUGGAUUUCCAGAAGCCUUGUAUCAAUUUGAGUAUUGCCUUUUGCACUUGAGCCCCAGCUGAGCAAAAGUACUGUUCAGUGGUGCAGUGGAAGGAGGCUGGACCCCUUUAAGAGUCUUUGAUCACAGUCAUGUAAGCAGCAAGCUGGUUUUCAUGCCAACUAGAGCUUCCCACUAACCACCUCUAGAAUGCUAGAAUCAGUCAGGGUUGGAAGGGACCACAGGGAUCAUCUAGUUCCAACCCCUCUGCGAUGGGCAGAGACACCCUGCCCUAGAGCAGGCUGUCCAGAGCCUCAUCCAGCCUGGCCUUAAACACCUCCAGGGAUGAGGCCUCAACCACCUCCCUGGGCAACCCAUUCCAGGCUCUCACCACUCUCCUGCUGAGCAACUUCUUCCUCACGUCCAGUCUGAAUCUUCCCCGCUUCCAGCUUUGCUCCAUUCCCCCUAGUCCUGUCCCUACCUGGUAGCCUGAAAAGUCUCUGCCCAGCUCUUUUGCAGGCCCCCUUCAGCUACUGGAAGGUCACAAUAAGAAUAACAGAAAAUAACCAGGAGAACUGUACUGGAAUGAAUGACAUUUCCACAUGGGAAUAUUGCUGGUGUCUUUCAGAGUCUUUUCAUCUUCCCUGGACUAACUGAAAACCCCUCUUUCAGUAUGUGACCUUGCCUGAGUUGCCUGCUGUUGUGGUCUUCAAAGAUGGAGCUUCCUUUGUUUCUGAUGGUAAGUAAAAGUGGAUAUUGGCCAUAUCAUGGAAUCAGCCAGGCUGGAAGAGACCUCCAAGAUCACCCAGUCCAACCUAGCACCCAGCCCUAACCAAUCAACUGGACCCUGGCACUAAGUGCCUAACAACCAGCCUGUACCUCUCUUGGCACAACUUGAGACUGUGUCCCCUUGUUCUGUUGCUGGUUGCCUGGCAGCAGAGCCCAACCCUAGCUGGCUACUGCACUGCUCCUGUGCACUGCGGCCCUCCUCUGGACCUGCUCCAGCAGGUCCUUGUCUCUUCUGUUGGAGGUUCUGUAGCUGUGUGCAGUACUCCAGGUAGGUCUCACCAGAGCAGGGCAGACUCAGACUCACAGAGUCAAGCAGGUUGGAAGAGAGCUCCAAGCUCAUCCAGUCCAAUCUAGCCCCCAGCCCUGUCCACUCAACUGGACCAUGGCACUAAGUGCCUCACCCAGGCUGUUCCUGAGCGCUUCCAGACACGGUGACUCUGUGGUGCCACAGCAAAAUACUCCAGGUGGGCCCUCAAGGGUAUUCUUUGAGCUGUCAUGGAAGGGCUGUGCUUGCCUUCCUCUUCGCUCUAUUGCCUUGCAACCAGUCACCCACCAAAGAAAAGUUCACUCAGUGACCUCCUUGAUCUGCAUUUGAUUUAGUUUUACUUUUGAAGCGGCCUGGAGAAGGAAAUUUUGUCAAAGAGAAACAAUUUUAAACUGCUGUUUUGUGAUGUGACCUGUCUGCUUUUGCCACCCCUGUCAAAACACACAAGCCUUGUUUCAAUCCAGGCUCCUAAUUCACUUUGCACAAAUCUUACUCUCUUAAAAUGUAUUAGAAGGGUUUUUGUAAACCAGUCAGUGCAGAGGCCCUGCAAGAGACUGGAUAUUGUUUUAUGUGCAGCUUACCAUUGGGCAGGAAAGUGCUGUCAGUCACAGCUCCCUUCCCAUGUCACAUUCCCUGCUGGGAGAGGAUUGUUUGUCCUUGGUUUGGGUGAAACUAAUCAGCCAAUCAGCACUGCAUGCUGUGCUCUAAUACACUUUUUGUUCAACAGCUGCAAAUUGCUGUAGCAGCUUAGGAGUGACAUUUCUGGAAAGGUGAGAGACCUUGUCUGGAAACAGUAGAGGGUUAAAAAUAGGCUUCUCUAGGCUGAAAUAAAUGUUAUUGCCCACCUCACAGCAGCAACAGAAGAACACAUUCUGCUUGCUUGCUUGCUUUCUCUUUUGUUGUCAGAGUGUGAAGAUGGUGAUUUGUCAUCCUGGAUAAACAGAGCAAGAUUUCAAGGGUAUCUUCAUGUGGAUGGCUUUACACUUCAUGAACUUGGAGACAGAGGAAAACUUGUGGCUAUUGCAGUCAUUGAUGAUAAAAACUCUUCAGUGGAACAUACCAGGAACAGAACUGAGUGUUGGUGACAGUGUGGGAGAAGUUUGCUGAUAUGAUGUAGAGAACUUGGGGAAGUUUGUUAGAUCUGAAGAGAUGCCAGGACUAAAAUCUGUCACUCAGGAAGUUGCCAGAGAUUAUGGGGAUAGUUUUCACAGGGAUUUCCAGUUUGGCCACAUGGAUGGGAAUGACCACAUGAACAGUUUGCUAAUGGAGAGAGUCCCAUUUCAUUCUUGAUGCUUUCUUUAAGAGAGGCAUACAACUGAGCUCCCUCAGAGAAGCAGCAUGAAGUGCAUGAAGGAUGCUGGCUGCACUCAGUACAGACAAGGCACAUUGGAGUAGGUUAACAAGAUGCUUGACAUUUGCCCUUAAUGGUCAUUGUCUUCAAAUGCAUCAUUCGGGAGUGAAGUUGCUUGGCAUUUGCAGUUGACUACUUCUUCUCUGGCCUUUGGAGUGAAGGAAGGGAAAAACCAGAGUUGAAGAUGUCAGCUCUGUGCCAAAAAGGAGAGCUUCUUCACCUGCUUCUCCUGUGCAAGCUCUUCUGUCUGUCUGCUGAGAUGUUUCUGCCUGUUUCUCUGGCAGAGAAGUGUUUGCUUUUUGGGCUGGCGAGCUGACCAUCCGUACUACCGUCGCCUUGAAUGCCUCCAACCAGCAGUGUUUGCUGCCAGACAGACACCUGGAGAAGACAGAGGACAUGCUGCGGUGGCUCCGAUUGUUACGCCGUGUGAUUUAUCUUCCUGUCCUGGCUGUCUUCCCGUGCUGGGUGCUGGCAGUGAAUACGUGGUGAGGAGUGCUUGGGGUGUGCCAUCCUUUGCUGUUCUCACUGUGGGAACUCCAAGAGCCAUGGAAUGGGCACAGGCUGGUGAUGGACUUCUGCAACGAAGCAAGAGAGUCAUCUAUGAGGCCAAGGCUGCUGUAAUGGUAGAGUUCAUUGCUUAUUCAGUGAGGUGAUGCUCUUGUCAGUCAAGAAGGACUUAGUUGCAGAGGCUUUAGAAAUGCUUUGAUGUAAGCUUGUUGCUAUGCUGUGCCUAGUGUAUCUAUUGUCACUAUUUAGAACUAGGCUUAAACCAAAUGAACUUCUGGAUUAAAACAGCCAAUCAUGUCUGCCACA